rnacentral:rRNA from 1 species
UAACCUGGUUGAUCCUGCCAGUGGUCAUAUGCUUAUCUCAAAGAUUAAGCCAUGCAUGUCUAUGCACAAGCCAAACCAAGGUGAAGCCGCGAAUUGCUCAUUACAACAGCCAUUGUUUACUGGAUCUUAACAAUCCUACUUGGAUAACUGUGGUAAUUCUAGAGCUAAUACACGCACCAAGCUCUGACCAACAGGGAUGAGCGCAUUUAUUAGAACAAAAACCAAUCAGGCUCUGCCUGUGAUUGGUGGAUCUGAAUAACUCAGCUGAUCGCACGGUCUCGCACCGGCGACGCAUCUUCCAAGUGUCUGCCUUAUCAACUUUUGAUGGUAGUUUAUGCGACUACCAUGGUUGUAACGGGUAACGGAGAGUAAGGGUUCGACUCCGGAGAGGGAGCCUGAGAAAUGGCUACCACAUCCAAGGAAGGCAGCAGGCGCGCAAAUUACCCAAUCUCAGAACGAGGAGGUAGUGACGAAAAAUAACGAGAUGGUUCUCUUUGAGGCCCAUUAUCGGAAUGAGUACAAUUCAAACCCUUUAACGAGGAUCUACGAGAGGGCAAGUCUGGUGCCAGCAGCCGCGGUAAUUCCAGCUCUCGAAGUGUAUAUCAUUGUUGUUGCGGUUAAAAAGCUCGUAGUUGGAUCUGCGUCUUUGGAGCCGGUCUUCCCAACGGGACAGCACUGGUCUCCUGGACUAAAACCGCUGGUUUUGUCUUGGUGCUCUUAACCGGGUGCCUUGGCUGACUAGCAAGUUUACUUUGAAAAAAUUAGAGUGCUCAAAACAAGCGUAUGCUUGAAUACUGGUGCAUGGAAU